UACGUAGGGUGCAAGCGUUAAUCGGAAUGACUGGGCGUAAAGGGUGUGUAGGCGGUUUUUUAAGUUUGAUGUGAAAUCUCCGAGCUUAACUCGGAAAAUGCAUUGAAUACUAUCUGGCUAGAGGUUUGGAGGGGGGACUGGAAUUCUUGGUGUAGCAGUGAAAUGCGUAGAUAUCAAGAGGAACACCAGUGGCGAAGGCGAGUCCCUGGACAACACCUGACACUGAGGCACGAAAGCUAGGGGAGCAAACAGG
rnacentral:rRNA from 1 species